UUAACAAUUUGUCUUCCCCAGGAGCAGGUGGUUUGGGUUACACAGACCUGGAGGAGCCUGGAUGAGCUUUGCCUGCUACAAAGCAUCGGCACUUAGGAGGAAUUGAAAUGUGGAAAGACAGAAGCAAGCAGGCAUGCCCAGGCAGGCACAUCUGGGGAGCUGCAGCGACAGAAAGGCAUUAUGAAAGAGAAGCGUGGCUGAUUAAUGAGGAGAGAGGCAGAGAAGCAAGCAGCUGACAGCUGAAAUAGAAUCAGAUAAAACACUUCACAAGGAGAGCUCAAAGUACAAUGGAAGUUGUGGAUGACAUCAAUCACCUUGAGGAGCUAUCCAGAAGAACUCCAUCAGCCAUACAAGGAGCUACUGUGAGCAGCUUCGGUGGUUGAAGUCAGCAGGAAGAAGGAUGAAUGUUGCCUUUGUCUGAACCCAUAAAUGACAUGGAAGAGCUCAGAAGAAUGGAGUGUUUGAAAGGCUGAAUGGGACGAGGACAAGUCUUAAUGAAAACUCUGCAUCAAUAUUUCACACUCGAACUGUGUGAGCAGUAAAUCACUCUUCAGUCAGGGAUCUUCAUAAAUAUUAGAUUAUUGGAGCUGCAUUCAUCAUGGAAUGCAUUUAUCAUCUGUGCACAGCCUGAAGGUGAAGUGAUUCUCAAGAUCCUCUUCAUCUGCCAAAAUUAGACUUUGGUUCUGUUGUGACUUCUCUGACUCAUGCACCCUCCCUGCGGCAGCCUCGCUAGCAAAGCUGCUUCUCAGAGCUUCACAGUCCACACAGCACAGGGAGCAGUGAGAGCUGCAAACCCCCUC